rnacentral:rRNA from 1 species
UACGAAGGGGGCUAGCGUUGCUCGGAAUCACUGGGCGUAAAGCGCACGUAGGCGGCUUUUUAAGUCAGGGGUGAAAUCCUGGAGCUCAACUCCAGAACUGCCUUUGAUACUGGGAAGCUUGAGUCCGGGAGAGGUGAGUGGAACUCCGAGUGUAGAGGUGAAAUUCGUAGAUAUUCGGAAGAACACCAGUGGCGAAGGCGGCUCACUGGCCCGGUACUGACGCUCAGGUGCGAAAGCGUGGGGAGCAAACAGG